UACGUAGGGGGCAAGCGUUGUCCGGAAUCAUUGGGCGUAAAGAGCGUGUAGGCGGUCCGGUCAGUCGGUUGUGAAAGUCAAGGGCUCGACCCUUGAAUGCCGGCCGAUACUGCCGGGCUAGAGUCCGGAAGAGGUGAGUGGAAUUCCUGGUGUAGCGGUGGAAUGCGCAGAUAUCAGGAGGAACACCAAUAGCGAAGGCAGCUCGCUGGGACGGUACUGACGCUAAGGCGCGAAAGCGUGGGGAGCGAACAGG
rnacentral:rRNA from 1 species